rnacentral:rRNA from 1 species
GUGCCAGACUCCUACGGGAGGCAGCAGUGGGGAAUAUUGGUCAAUGGAGGAAACUCUGAACCAGCAACGCCGCGUGAAUGAUGAAGGUCUUCGGAUUGUAAAGUUCUUUUCUAAGGGAAGAAGAAAGUGACGGUACCUUAGGAAUAAGCCUCGGCUAACUACGUGCCAGCAGCCGCGGUAAUACGUAGGAGGCGAGCGUUAUCCGGAGUGACUGGGUGUAAAGAGUUGCGUAGGUGGCAUAGUAAGUAGCUAGUGAAAUCUGGUGGCUCAACCAUUCAGACUAUUAGCUAAACUGCUAAGCUCGAGACCGUUAGGGGUAACUGGAAUUUCUAGUGUAGGAGUGAAAUCCGUAGAUAUUAGAAGGAACACCGAUAGCGUAGGCAGGUUACUGGGACGGUUCUGACACUAAGGCACGAAAGCGUAGGGAGCAAACGGGAUUAGAUCCCCUAGUA